AUCUUUGUGCAAGGGUGGUGCCAUCGUGCGUGAGGGAAUUCCCGAUGCGUGGCUUUUUGCUGAUUGCAAACUAAACAUCCAAGCCCGCGACAUGUGAAGCUUGCUUCCUGUCGCAAUUUUUGUAGCUGGCCCAGGUCG
rnacentral:snRNA from 1 species